UGAGGAAUAUUGGUCAAUGGCCGUAAGGCUGAACCAGCCAAUUCGCGUGAGGGAAGACGGCCCUACGGGUUGUAAACCUCUUUUGUCGGGGAGCAAAGGCGGUCACGCGUGACCGGAAGAGAGUACCCGAAGAAACAGAAUCGGCUAACUCCGUUCCAGCAGCCGCGGUAAUACGGAGGAUGCGAGCGUUAUCCGGAUUUAUUGGGUUUAAAGGGUGCGCAGGCGGCACUGCAAGUCAGCGGUCAAAAUGCGGGGCUCAACCCCGUCGAGCCGUUGAAACUGCGGUCCUUGAGUGCGCGAGAAGUAUGCGGAAUGCGUGGUGUAGCGGUGAAAUGCAUAGAUAUCACGCAGAACUCCGAUUGCGAAGGCAGCAUACCGGCGCGCAACUGACGCUCAUGCACGAAAGCGUGGGUAUCGAACAGG
rnacentral:rRNA from 1 species